rnacentral:lncRNA from 1 species
CAUGGAGCAGCGGGCAGGGACUACAGAAGCAAGAGGAAACCUCCAUGGAGGCAGGUCAAGAAGUCGCAAGCAAAGGGAGACCAGGACCCCUGCUGUAUUCCAGCUCCACCCCAGUGCCAAGCUCAUUCCAGGAGCUGAGUAACCACCUGUUGAUUGAUUAUUACACUGACAAGAGCCCUGAAAGAGCAUGAACAAACAGAACCUGCAUAGUGCCUGGCACUGAAUAGGUACACAAACUGCCUCUCAAAUUUGGCCAUUGAAUUUAUGCCCAAGUUGCAGAUUUGUGAACAAAGUAAGUGUUGUUGUUUUAAGUCACUAAAUUUGGGGGUUA